rnacentral:rRNA from 1 species
AGAGUUUGAUCAUGGCUCAGGAUGAACGCUAGCGGCAGGCCUAACACAUGCAAGUCGAACGGUAACAGGAAUUAGCUUGCUAAUUUGCUGACGAGUGGCGCACGGGUGCGUAACGCGUAUACAAUCUACCUUUUGCUGAGGGAUAGCCCAGAGAAAUUUGGAUUAAUACCUCAUGGUAUUAUUGAUAGGCAUCUAUUAAUAAUUAAAGGUUACGGCAAAAGAUGAGUAUGCGUCCCAUUAGCUAGUUGGCGAGGUAACGGCUCACCAAGGCAACGAUGGGUAGGGGUCCUGAGAGGGAGAUCCCCCACACUGGUACUGAGACACGGACCAGACUCCUACGGGAGGCAGCAGUGAGGAAUAUUGGACAAUGGGCGAGAGCCUGAUCCAGCCAUGCCGCGUGCAGGAAGACUGCCCUAUGGGUUGUAAACUGCUUUUAUACAGGAAGAAUAAGCCUUACGUGUAAGGUGAUGACGGUACUGUAAGAAUAAGGACCGGCUAACUCCGUGCCAGCAGCCGCGGUAAUACGGAGGGUCCGAGCGUUAUCCGGAAUUAUUGGGUUUAAAGGGUCCGUAGGCGGAUGAUUAAGUCAGGGGUGAAAGUUUGCAGCUCAACUGUAAAAUUGCCUUUGAUACUGGUUAUCUUGAGUUGUAUUGAAGUAGGCGGAAUAUGUAGUGUAGCGGUGAAAUGCAUAGAUAUUACAUAGAACACCAAUUGCGAAGGCAGCUUACUAAGUACUAACUGACGCUGAUGGACGAAAGCGUGGGUAGCGAACAGGAUUAGAUACCCUGGUAGUCCACGCCGUAAACGAUGGAUACUAGCUGUUCGGGGCCUUGAGCUCUGAGCGGCUAAGCGAAAGUGAUAGUAUCC